rnacentral:rRNA from 1 species
AUACGAAUGGAGCGAGCGUUGUUCGGAAUCAUAGGGCGUAAAGCGUAUGUAGGCGGACUAGAAAGUCAGAAGUGAAAUCCCGAGGCUCAACCUCGGAAUUGCUUUUGAAACUCCUGGUCUCGAGUCCCGGAGGGGUUGACGGAAUUCCUAGUGUAGAGGUGAAAUUCGCAGAUAUUAGGAGGAACACCAGUGGCGUAGGCGGUCAACUGGACGGGUACUGACGCUGAGAUACGAAAGCGUGGGGAGCAAACAGGAUUAGAAACCCCUGUAGUCC